CCUACGGGAGACAGCAGUGAGGAAUAUUGGUCAAUGGACGAGAGUCUGAACCAGCCAAGUAGCGUGAAGGAUGACUGCCCUAUGGGUUGUAAACUUCUUUUAUAUGGGAAUAAAAUGUUCCACGUGUGGGAUUUUGUAUGUACCAUAUGAAUAAGGAUCGGCUAACUCCGUGCCAGCAGCCGCGGUAAUACGGAGGAUCCGAGCGUUAUCCGGAUUUAUUGGGUUUAAAGGGAGCGUAGGUGGAUUGUUAAGGCAGUUGUGAAAGUUUGCGGCUCAACCGUAAAAUUGCAGUUGAAACUGGCAGUCUUGAGUACCGUAGAGGUGGGCGGAAUUCGUGGUGUAGCGGUGAAAUUCUUAGAUAUCACGAAGAACUCCGAUUGCGAAGGCAGUUCACUGGACUGCAACUGACACUGAGGCUCGAAAGUGUGGGUAUCAAACAGGAUUAGAUACCCCAGUAGUC
rnacentral:rRNA from 1 species